UACGUAGGGAGCAAGCGUUGUCCGGAAUCAUUGGGCGUAAAGCGCGCGUAGGCGGUCCUGUAAGUCCGUUGUGAAAGUCAAAGGCUCAACCUUUGAAAGCCGAUGGAUACUGCAGGGCUAGAGUCCGGAAGAGGCGAGUGGAAUUCCUGGUGUAGCGGUGAAAUGCGCAGAUAUCAGGAGGAACACCGGUGGCGAAGGCGGGUCGCUGGGCCGAUACUGACGCUGAGGAGCGAAAGCGUGGGGAGCGAACAGG
rnacentral:rRNA from 1 species